CACCCUUUGUCCCACAAGUGGGAGGGGGCGACCGUGGCGAAGGGUCCCAGAAUGGGCAACCGGCAUGGGGGUGUCGACCGUGGGCACCGUUCCCCGCCUUUGGGUGCUCAGGGUACAAGGGGCCGAGGCCCCGCUCUCACCCACCCGCGCACGGACUCCAGCCCCGGGACCGACGGCAGUGGCGGCGCCCAUGCCCAGCGCAGGGGAGCGUCUGCAAAGUGUCGCGGAGAGAAGCGCCCACCCACCAGUAAGCGGGCGUAGCGGCAGAGGAGGGGGAGAACUGGAUGGCGGAGCGCGGAGACGUGGGCACUAACCGAAUCAGGCCUGCCGAGCCUGGGGCGCCUCUUCCUGGAGCCCAGCACUGCAUAAAACUGGUUGAAACAGAAGAAUCAGAAGUUCAAGGUUAUCUUCUCCAAUAUAUUGAGGAGUUGGAGGCCGGCCUGGGCUACAUGAAAUCGCAUCUGAAAACAAGGAUGGAGAGCAGCUGUGAUUCUUGCCAGUGACCCAGCAGGGGAAAGUAAGGUCUCCAGAGGAGACCAGCCAUUCCUAGG
ensembl:processed_transcript Gm15510 predicted gene 15510